rnacentral:rRNA from 1 species
AGCGCAGGCGGGAAGGUAAGUCUAUCUUAAAAGUGCGGGGCUCAACCCCGUGAGGGGAUAGAAACUAUCAUUCUUGAGUGCAGGAGAGGAAAGCGGAAUUCCUAGUGUAGCGGUGAAAUGCGUAGAUAUUAGGAGGAACACCAGUGGCGAAGGCGGCUUUCUGGACUGUAACUGACGCUGAGGCUCGAAAGCCAGGGGAGCAACG